GAUGAACGCUGGCGGCGUGCCUAAUACAUGCAAGUCGAGCGAACAGACGAGGAGCUUGCUCCUCUGACGUUAGCGGCGGACGGGUGAGUAACACGUGGAUAACCUACCUAUAAGACUGGGAUAACUUCGGGAAACCGGAGCUAAUACCGGAUAAUAUAUUGAACCGCAUGGUUCAAUAGUGAAAGACGGUUUUGCUGUCACUUAUAGAUGGAUCCGCGCCGCAUUAGCUAGUUGGUAAGGUAACGGCUUACCAAGGCAACGAUGCGUAGCCGACCUGAGAGGGUGAGCGGCCACAGUGGAACUGAGACACGGUCCAGACUCCUACGGGAGGCAGCAGUAGGGAAUCUUCCGCAAUGGGCGAAAGCCUGACGGAGCAACGCCGCGUGAGUGAUGAAGGUCUUCGGAGCGUAAAACUCUGUUAUUAGGGAAGAACAAAUGUGUAAGUAACUAUGCACGUCUUGACGGUACAUAAUCAGAAAGCCACGGCUAACUACG
rnacentral:rRNA from 1 species